rnacentral:rRNA from 1 species
CCUACGCGUGACUGCAGUGAGGAAUAUUGGUCAAUGGGCGCGAGCCUGAACCAGCCAAGUAGCGUGAAGGAUGACUGCCCUACGGGUUGUAAACUUCUUUUAUAAAGGAAUAAAGUGAGGCACGUGUGCCUUUUUGUAUGUACUUUAUGAAUAAGGAUCGGCUAACUCCGUGCCAGCAGCCGCGGUAAUACGGAGGAUCCGAGCGUUAUCCGGAUUUAUUGGGUUUAAAGGGAGCGUAGAUGGGUUGUUAAGUCAGUUGUGAAAGAUUGCGGCUCAACCGUAAAAUUGCAAUUGAUACUGGCAGUCUUGAGUACAGUUGAGGUAGGCGGAAUUCGUGGUGUAGCGGUGAAAUGCUUAGAUAUCACGAAGAACUCCGAUUGCGAAGGCAGCUUACUAAACUGCCACUGACAUUGAUGCUCGAAAGUGUGGGUAUCAAACAGGAUUAGAUACCCUGGUAGUC